CAAUCAGCAGGCCUCCUGGUUGCCUGACUCAGGCCUCCCCAAUCAGAGCUGAGGUCUGCGGUGGACAGACAGACAGGUCUGGAGAGGCUGAGAAUGUUUGCUGACAUCUGCUUUGUAGCAUUGAUCAUCAUUUGACUUACUAGAUUGGAGAGAAGCACUCUGGCUAAAAGUGCAAAGAGCAGACCCUGAAGAUGCAUGCAAGCCAGUGUUGGGCAGAGAAAGAGAGAGUACUCUUUUAUCAUGAUGCCACCCACCACUUCUGACCUGUGAGAUCUUGGGCAAAUUUCUCACCUUCUCUGAAUCAGAUUCACAUCUGCAAGACCAACUCUCCAACCUGCUUCAAGCCAAGGCAGGAGAUGAAAAGGAGAGAGGAGAGUGAAGUCAAGCAAGGACUGAGAGGAAACUUGUUCCUUCGGGGGCACAAUGAAGACACAGCAGCCAAGGACACACGGAGGAAGCAGGGAGUCCUUGAGUGCGCUAAGAACCUGCUGUGGACUGCCUUUUGGCAAGUGUUCAGGGACUGGCUGAACACUAGAACCUGGCGGAGCAGCUGGGCCCUGGGAACGGCAGUGCAGUGGAGCAGUCGGCCUUAUGAUGACUCUGCCCAGCCAGGUCGCUCUGCAGCUUAUGGCACCAUCACGGGGAGAGGGGAUGCAGCCUCACUUCUGCCACACCCCGGGGUGCUCUCUUCUCGGCCCCACGGAACUGCUCACUAUUCCCAGAUAAAUGUCUCAUACUUUCCUCAUCCCAAGUUCACUCUAGUGUCCUUUCCUUACCAUCUCUAGCUGCAAAUCCUUUAGGGCCCGAUCACAUGUCAUCUCUUUUGGGAAGCCCUCCUUGAUUGACCGAGGCCGUCAUUUAUGGGUACUUUCCGCAAGCUUGUGUUAUUUUUACCUGCAUGCCUUCAUACCUAGCAUAUUGCCUUACAUUUUGUAGGCGUCCCAAAAAUUAUGUUGGUAAAUGAAUAGUCCUGACUUACCUUAAUGUUGUUAUUAUUGGUAAAGGUUAUGCAUUAAAUCGUUAAAUAUGAUCGCACCUGUAUGUGUUCAUGGAUGAAAU